rnacentral:miRNA from 1 species
UUUUAGUGGAUCAUGAGGGAAAA